rnacentral:rRNA from 1 species
GAUGAACGCUAGCGGCAGGCUUAAUACAUGCAAGUCGUGGGGCAGCAGGUCUGUAGCAAUACAGAUGCUGGCGACCGGCAAACGGGUGCGGAACACGUACACAACUUUCCUUUAAGUGGGGAAUAGCCCAGAGAAAUUUGGAUUAAUACCCCGUAACAUAGUGAAAAGGCAUCUUUUUAUUAUUAUAGCAGCAAUGCGCUUAAUGAUGGGUGUGCGUCUGAUUAGGUAGUUGGCGGAGUAAUAGCCAACCAAGCCUACGAUCAGUACCUGGUGUGAGAGCAGGACCAGUCACACGGGGACGGAGCCACGGGCCCGACUCCUACGGGAGGCAGCAGUAAGGAGUAUUGGGCAAUGGACGCAAGUCUGACCCAGCCAUGCCGCGUGGAGGAUGAAGGUCCUCUGGAUUGUAAACUUCUUUUAUCUGGGAAGAAAUCCAUCUUUUCUUGGGUGGUUGACGGUACCAGAUGAAUAAGCACCGGCUAACUCCGUGCCAGCAGCCGCCGUAA